UUAUCUGGGCCAUUUGGCUAAGAUCAAGUGUAGUAUAUGUUCUUGUCAGUUUAAUAUCUGAUACUUGGUGCCAUUGGCCCAUGUGAUAUUAACUUUAUUUUUCAAUGAGGUGAGUCCGCCACGUCAGCUUGCUGAUUGGCUCCCACGUGUCACCUUCAUCUUGCACUACUGCGAGGUCUUGCACACCUCAC